GUUUAUACAUUCAUCUGAUCACUAGAGGGAGUGAAGAAUCACUUCAGUUCAUUCAAACUGUGCUGUGAAACAAACCAUGAUCUCUUCAUCUUUACUGUUGCUUCUGGCAGUGAUAUCCUGUAUUGAUUCAUAUGAACUCACUCAGCCUGAGUCUCUGACUGUCCGUCCUGAUGCUACUCUCACUAUCAACUGUAAAGUCUCAUAUUCAGUUACAAGUGAGUAUACAGCCUGGAUUCGUCAGCCUGCAGGAAAAGCUCUGGAGUGGAUUGGAUUAAUUGAAGAUGAUGGAGACUUAUUCUACAAGGAUUCACUGAAAAGCAAGUUCAGUAUCACCAGAGACACUUCCAGUAACACAAUAACACUGCAAGGAAAGAAUAUGAAAGCUGAAGACACAGCUGUGUAUUAUUGUGCCAAACACAUCUAA